CCUACGGGUGGCAGCAGUGGGGGAUAUUGGUCAAUGGGGGAAACCCUGAACCAGCAACGCCGCGUGAGGGAAGACGGCCUUCGGGUUGUAAACCUCAGUGAUGAGAGAUGAUACUAAUGACAGUACAUGAAAAGCAAGCUCCGGCUAACUACGUACCAGCAGCCGCGGUAAUACGUAGGGAACAAGCGUUGUCCGGAUUUACUGGGUGUAAAGGGGGCGUAGGCGGGCACACAAGUCAGGCGUGAAAUACCGUUGCUUAACUCCGGGGCUGCGUUUGAAACUGUGUUUUUGGAGUGAAGUAGAGGUAGGUGGAAUUCCUGGUGUAGGUGUGGAAUGCGUAGAUAUUAAGAGGAAUACUCGUUGCGAAGGCGACCUGCUGGGACUUUACUGACGCUGAUGCACGAAAGCAUGGGGAGCAAACAGGAUUAGAUACCCCUGUAGUC
rnacentral:rRNA from 1 species